CAUAAAAAAUAAAUAAAACCAGUCUGGUUUUUGCAGAAAUUAACGUCAGUUUGUAAACUACAUAUUUAAAUUUUCCAUCAGACACCUAUAAAACCGAUAAUUCGAAGUCGCUAUAAACCCGCGGCCGAUGUUGCACAAGAAUCCACGCAGAAAUCGGCUAGCAGGUGGUGUUGCUCGUGCUUAAAGACCCAUCCGAGGCGGAGCCGACACGCAUUGCCAAUGACAGAUGUAAUCAUUUUUGGCAAUGCCAGCCGGCUGUUUAGCGGGCAUUUUGCGAAACCCCGGGCCCGAGCCCGAAUCCGAAUCCGAUGCAUAUGCAAAGCUAACAACAGGAAACCCAAGCCACCCGGUAACGAGCCGGUUGCGCAAGCGCACGGAGAACACACGGCCCGGCGACUGAUGUUGGAUGUCCGACUCCCAUGUCCGAGGCAUUUUUGGGAGCAGGCGUAUUAGUUACAUCCGCCCAAGGCACACCGCUCGGGAAUUAGUUGGGCUGCACUGGGAAAAAUAUAUGCUGGAGGAAGGCCCUAAAAACAUCUAUGGAUAUCUAGGGAUACCAUCAUUUAAGAAUACUUAUUUACAUUUUAUUCCCUUAUAAAAUUCCUACUUUUUUCAAUCCUCGAAA